rnacentral:rRNA from 1 species
GACGAACGCUGGCGGCGUGCUUAACACAUGCAAGUCGAACGGAAAGGCCCGGCUUUUGUGGGGUGCUCGAGUGGCGAACGGGUGAGUAACACGUGAGUAACCUGCCCUUGACUUUGGGAUAACUUCAGGAAACUGGGGCUAAUACCGGAUAGGAGCUCCUGCUGCAUGGUGGGGGUUGGAAAGUUUCGGCGGUUGGGGAUGGACUCGCGGCUUAUCAGCUUGUUGGUGGGGUAGUGGCUUACCAAGGCUUUGACGGGUAGCCGGCCUGGGAGGGUGACCGGCCACAUUGGGCCUGCGAUACGGCCCAGUCUCCUACGGGACGCAGCAGUGGGGAAUAUUGCACAAUGGGCGGAAGCCUGAUGCAGCAACGCCGCGUGCGGGAUGACGGCCUUCGGGUUGUAAACCGCUUUCGCCUGUGACGAAGCGUGAGUGACGGUAAUGGGUAAAGAAGCACCGGCUAACUACGUG